UACGAAGGGGCUAGCGUUGUUCGGAUUUACUGGGCGUAAAGCGCACGUAGGCGGAUCGUUAAGUCGGGGGUGAAAUCCUGGAGCUCAACUCCAGAACUGCCUUCGAUACUGGCGAUCUUGAGUCCGGAAGAGGUGAGUGGAACUCCUAGUGUAGAGGUGGAAUUCGUAGAUAUUAGGAAGAACACCAGUGGCGAAGGCGGCUCACUGGUCCGGUACUGACGCUGAGGUGCGAAAGCGUGGGGAGCAACAGGG
rnacentral:rRNA from 1 species